rnacentral:rRNA from 1 species
UCUAUGGCCAUGCCAACCUGAACAAGCCUGAACCCAUCUGAUUUUGGAAGCUAAGCAGGGUCAGGCCUGGUUAGUACUUGGAUGGGAGACAUGGGCUAUCCCUGAAAUUCCAGGUGCUGGAAGAC